UAGGUAGGUGGUCUCGUUUGUCUAGGGUGAAAUCCCGGAGCUUAACUCCGGAAGUGCCCUGGAAACGGCGAGACUGGAGUCCUGGAGAGGAUCGUGGAAUUCCCGGUGUAGCGGUGAAAUGCGUAGAGAUCGGGAGGAACACCAGAGGCGAAGGCGGCGAUCUGGACAGGUACUGACACUCAACUACGAAAGCGUGGGGAGCAAACAGGAUUAGAUACCCUGGUAGUCCACGCUGUAAACGAUCGGUACUAGGUUUGGUGGGUCUUGACCCCCGCCGAGCCGUAGCUAACGCGAUAAGUACCGCGCCUGGGGAGUACGGUCGCAAGACUAAA
rnacentral:rRNA from 1 species